GUAGGGUUUAUCUCUUUCUUCCUUUAUUUAGUAGGUUGAGAUAAGAUUUAAUUUAUCUUAAUGGCAAAAAUUGAAUUUCAUUAUGGGCUGGGAGGAUCCAAGCUUGUAGUUCAAGUCAAAUAAAAAGAGUGUUAAAAAAAGUAUCUUUGGCGUUAUAUUUUAGAUGGACAUUUACAAGAAUUUUUUACUUUUGGAGAACUUCUAUUCCGUGCUCAUAUAUCGAGAGGGUGGAGUAAGGCAGUGGCGUUAGGUUUUCCGUUCUUCCUUUCUUUAUUAUUUUCCUUUUCUUAUUUUUUUCUUCCUCCCCUCUCCAUAUAAGUGGUUUAUGGUUCUGUUUGUAUAAAAUAAAAAUGGG
rnacentral:lncRNA from 1 species